GAUGAAGAACGCAGCGAAAUGCGAUAAGUAGUGUGAAUUGCAGAAUUCAGUGAAUCAUCGAAUCUUUGAACGCACAUUGCGCCCUGUGGUAUUCCGCAGGGCAUGCCUGUUCGAGCGUCAUUUCAACCCUCAAGCCCCGCUUGGUGUUGGGCCCCGCCCGCCGUGGCCGGCCCUAAAGACAGUGGCGGCGCCGCCUGGCCCUCAGCGUAGUACAGCUCUCGCUCCAGGGUCCGGCGGCCGCCUGCCAGAACCCCCCCAACUCUGUGGUUGACCUCGGAUCAGGUAGGGAUACCCGCUGAACUUAAGCAUAUCAAUAAGCGGAGGA
rnacentral:misc_RNA from 1 species